AUUUUUGCAACAUAUAUCAAAUGUUGCUAAAAAGAAAAACUCAUCAAAAGUUAAUUAGCCCUAAUUUUUCCUUCUUUUCUCGUCUCCACAUCUCACCGUCUCUCGUCACUUCCUCGCUUGACAUUAUCGAUCCUUCUUAGAGGCAGACACCGUCGUCGUUGGAAGGUACCACCAUAACCAACGGUGGCUAGCAAGUUAAGAUGCCUCUCGCCAAGGACCAUCUGCGCCGCUAGGGAUUUUCAGAUAAUCCGUGAACUCGGCCACAAGUCCAAUGGGUAGACUACUGAGUGGCUUCUUCGUCACGCGAAGCCUUCAAUUAAGUUGCCACCGGCACCGACACAACCCUUACUAGUUUCGCCACCGUCUGGACCUCCACUUGGAACUCCUCCAUCCCUCAUUCACAGCUUACUCCAACCAAUUUUCCGAAAAACCAAGGGAAGACGAUGUUAAUUCAUACUAAAUUAUGAAUUAUUUAAGCUAAGUCAUCAGUUGUGCAUAAGCUUCCGUAUAUUUGGUUUUUUUAUUGUGAAUUAUCAUUGUGGUUUUCAAUUUAUGAUGCUGAUAUUGAUAAAUUCAGUGUAUUUUGUUGGAAAAAAUUGAGUGAGCGGCUCACUUUUGGUACAAUUUUCAUGGGACCCGUUGGUCCAAUGUAGAAUAUCAAAGUUGAUAUGUGUUCUCCUCCGCGAGAACAUCGAUUUCAUGUAUUUAUUUGCCAAAAAUGAAACUCGGGUGAAUGAGAAAUUGGAGUUCAAAGUUGGUCAUUGGAAGUUGGUUUUGUGGGAAAAAAUGUAUUUUUCCCACAUAGGAAAAUUAAGAAAAUUUAAACCACUUUAUAUAUGGAUAUACUUUGGAGAUGUGUAGUCAUGUGUAGCAUAGAGGCUCUCUCCAGUGCGCGCGCAGGGGGUGCAAAUCACGAGCCGAAAUGGCCUUCGGACCUUGAACUUGGGUGCGGGCGCGACCUGUGCACACGAAUGUCGGACCGAACAAGGCAAAAAUGGCUCCAUAGGAGAGUCCACAUUUUGCCAAAUUUUUUUCGGCUUUCUCCAAUGACUUUUGAGUUUCUAAACUGCAGAAAUUCCCAAUGUUUAUUGCUAGAACUGAAAAGCUGAAACUCCAGUGGUUAAUGUCGUAACUCCAGCGACUCCAAUGGACAGGACUCAGUCUAUAUAAGGGACGCUCACCCAACAGUUCAAUACACGAACGAAAAUUUCUCUCUGGAUACAAAAAUAUUCUUCCCAGUUUUCCAUGCAGUGUCGUUUUUCCCAGUUUCAGUUUCCAUACAGUGUAGUUCUGUUCCUUUCCAGUCACGUGUAGUUCGUUGGAGUAGGACCGUGGUGCUCGGAUUUUGCUUAUUAUCGUCGUAUCCUGGGAGACAGCCGCUCGAACUGAACCUCCAGCACCUACGGUGAGGGGGCGAAACUGUCUUAAGGAAACUGUGCACGCGUAUGCCUCGGUUUGAAAUCUGCUGCAGUUUGUGUUUUCUUUCUACAGAUUUAUUUCGUUGCAGUUCGUGUAGUUUCUUUGCAGAUUCAGUUUAUCCUUGCAGUCUCAGUUUCCAUUUAUUUCUGCAGAUUAUUUUCGUAUUACUAUUUAAUUCAUGCAGUUUGUAGUUCCAUAGUGUGCAGCUUCCAGAUUCAUCGUUUACAGUUUUAGCCUGCAGUUAACUUAUAUUUCUGAUUUUAUGUUGCUAAACAUUUUUUUUCAGCCAUUGAAAAAUUCUGAAACGAAAUUCUUUUUUUUAUAAAUUGAAAUUUUUGCCUUGUGGUUAUCAAUUUCAAUAGUCGGCUAUUGCAUUUGAAUAAAACUUAUACAAUUGAUUUCAUCCACUAGCGACUUGUUUUCCUACAAGUUUAAGACAGUUUUCUGAGUUCGGAAAACAAGAGUUGAUUUUUGGUUUAACUGAAUUUUAGUUACUUGGAACUAAUAUUUGGUUUUCAAAAACAAGAGUCGUUUUUUUUUUGUUUCAUUGAAUUGUAGUUUUUUGGAACUAAUAUUUGGUUUGUUUUCAGAAAUGGCAACCGAAUCGAACAACAUGGAUGUGACCCAAAAUGUUCUCGUUGGAAAUCAGGCUGUGGGUUCUAAAGUGGCUCAAGGGCCAAGCUCCGUUGUGGCUCAGACUGUGGCUAGAAUGCCAAGUCAUGUUGUGAGCCAAACUGGCCAAACUGUAACUGUUCCGGUUAAUCAUGGAGAAAAAUCGAAGAAAUUUGAUGGCUUGAAUUUCAAAAGGUGACAACAGAAAAUGGUUUUUUACUUGACCACCUUGAAUCUUGCGAGAUUCUUGACUGAAACUGCUCCAAAGCUUAAUGAGGGCGAGGGAGAUGUGAAAGCAUUGAGUGCACUUGAUGCUUGGAAGCAUUCGGACUUUCUGUGCCGAAAUUAUAUCAUGAACAGCCUAGCAGAUGCGCUGUACAAUGUGUAUAGCACCAUGAAAACUGCUAAGAAAUUGUUGGAGUCCUUGGAUCGGAAAUACAAAAUUGAGGAUGCCAAGGCUAAAAAGUUUAUAGUCAGCAAAUUCCUAAACUAUAAGAUGAUGGACUCCAAAACUGUUAUCAGUCAAGUGUAAGAACUCCAAGUGAUCCUUCAUGAAAUUCAUGCCCAAGGAAUGAUGUUGAGUUAAACUUUUCAGGUGGCUGCAAUUAUAGAAAAAUUGCCCCCUGUGUGGAAAGAUUUUAAGAACUAUUUGAACACAAACGAAAGGAAAUGAACGUCUAAGAGCUCGUUGUUAGACUUCGAAUCGAAGAAGACAACAACAGUUUCGAGAAUAAAUGGUUCAAUCCUGGUGGCUAAAGCCAAUGUUAUGAAGCUUGGUCAAAAUAGUAAGAACUAUAAAAAUAAGUCUGGGUCAUCUGGUGGCAAAAGAACUUAGCAAGGACCGAAAAGUGGAAUUGUCAAGAAGAAAUUUCAAGGGAAAUGCUUCAAUUGUGACAAAGUGGGUCACAAGUCUUCGGAGAGCAGAUUACCGAAGAAGAAGAAAGAAGUGAACGUGGUUGACUACAUGGCACAAGAUGUGUCGGAGUUGAAUCUCGUAACAGUCAUUUCUGAAGUAAACAUGGCGGGUUCAAACCCUAAAGAGUGGUGGAUUAACACCGAUACUACAAGGCAUGUGUGCUCUGAUAAAGAGAUAUUUGAUACGUUCGAAACUGUUGAGAACAAGGAGAAGUUGUUCAUGAAAAAUUCAGCAACUUUUGAAAUCAAGGGUCAAGGAAAAGUGGUUUUGAAGAUGACCUCGGAAAAGGAGCUGACUCUCAACAACGUGCUUUAUGUGCCGAAAAUUCGUAAGAAUUUAGUGUCCGGGUCGCUUUUGAAUAAGCAUGGUUUUCGCAUUGUUUUUGAGUCAGACAAAGUCAUUCUGUCAAAAAGUGAAAUGUUUGUCGGAAAAGGUUAUGUUUCCGACGGUAUGUUUAAACUCAAUGUAAUGGUUGUGAAACCAAAAAUAAAUAAAGUAAGUUCUUCUGCUUAUUUGCUUGAGUCUUCCAAUUUGUGGCAUGAUAGACUAGGACACGUUUACUAUGAUACUUUACGAAGACUAGUUAACUCUAACUGCAUACCUAAGUUAAAUAACGAUUCCAAACAUAAGUGUGAAACUUGAGUUGAAACAAAAUCGACAAGGUCAUCGUUUAAAUCAAUUGAACGGAACACAGAACCACUAGAUUUAGUUCACAGUGACGUGUGUGAUAUAAAAGUUGUACAAACAAGAGGUGGCAACAAGUAUUUUAUUACUUUUGUCGACGAUAGCACAAAAUACUGCUAUGUAUAUCUACUUAAAAGCAAGGAUGAAACUAUAGAGAAAUUUAUUCUCUAUAAGAAUGAAGUUGAGAAUCAACUUAAUAAAAAUAUUAAGGUGCUGCGAAGUGAUCGAGGUGGUGAGUAUGAAGCACCAUUUGCUGAAUUCUAUGCACAACACGGAAUCAUACAUGAAACCACCGCCCCUUAUUCACCGCAACAAAAUGGUGUUGCUGAACGAAAAAAUCGUACCUUAAAAGAGAUGAUGAAUACAAUGCUCAUAAGUUCUGGAUUACCUCAAAACAUGUGGGGGGAAGCUGUGUUAUUAGCAAAUUACCUUUUAAAUAAGGUGCCCUGAAAGAAAUCAGAAAAGAUCCCUUAUGAGUUAUGGAAAGGAAUAAUGUCAACCUAUAAACACUUGCGAGUGUGGGGUGUCUUUCUAAAGUGGCUGUUCCACCACCAAAGAAGGUAAGGAUAGGCCCGAAAACUAUAGACUGUGUCUUCAUUGGCUAUGCACAAAAUAGCAGUGCGUAUCGCUUUCUUGUGUAUGAUUCAAAAAUUUCAGACAUACACAAAAACACGAUAAUGGAAUCAAGGAAUGCUACAUUCUUUGAAGAAGUAUUUCCAUACAGAUCCAAAGAAGAAGCAAGCUCCUCUAAACGAACAUAUGAGACAAUGACUGAAAAUAGUCAGAACGAAGAAUUAGAAGAGGAGACUGAGGUUAGACGCGGCAAACGGGAAAGGACAGAAAAAUUUUAUGGUCCCGAUUUCUGACGUAUAUACUAGAAAGUGAACCUCAAAGUUAUCAAGAAGCAGUGAAUUUCUCAGAAGGACCUCAAUGGAAAGAAGCCAUUGAAAGUGAAAUAGAUUCCAUACUGUAAAAUCAUACAUGGGAGCUAGUGGAUCUUCCUCCAGGAAGCAAACCACUAGGCUACAAAUGGAUUUUCAAAAGGAAAAUGAAAGCAGAUGGAACUAUCGAGAAGUAUAAGGCCAUAUUAGUAAUUAAAGACUACAAACAAAGGGAAUGCCUUGAUUACUUUGAUACGCAUUCUCCAGUGACGAGAAUAACAUCUAUUAUGAUGAUACUUGUGAUUGCCGCUUUGCGAAAUCUUGAAGUACAUCAAAUGGAUGUUAAAACUGCCUUUCUAAAUGGAGAUUUAGAAGAAGAAAUUUACAUGGAACAACCUGAGGGGUUUUCAUCACCAGGACAUGAAAAGAAAGUCUAUAAACUGGUGAAGUCACUAUAUGGCUUGAAACAAGUACCAAAACAAUGGCAUGAAAAAAUUGACAAUGUCAUGAUUGAGAGUGG
rnacentral:lncRNA from 1 species